rnacentral:rRNA from 1 species
CGGGGUAGGAGUAAUGUCUGGGAAACUGCCUGAUGGAGGGGGAUAACUACUGGAAACGGUAGCUAAUACCGCAUAGCGUCGCAAGACCAAAGAGGGGGACCGUUAGGGCCUCUUGCCAUCGGAUGUGCCCAGAUGGGAUUAGCUAGUAGGUGGGGUAACGGCUCACCUAGGCGACGAUCCCUAGCUGGUCUGAGAGGAUGACCAGCCACACUGGAACUGAGACACGGUCCAG